UAGAUGAUUAAAAGUUUUGUAAACUUACUUUUACUAACCAUUUUCAUCAUACUUUACACCUUAAAUUACACACACAAAUCCUCCCACCUUCACCUCCAUUUUCGGCCAAGAACACCCAAAAACCAUCUUCAUUUUCAAGCCACUUUUUGAUGAACAAGAUGCAUUUCCAAGGAACUUGAGAAGAUCUAAGACACCUACAAGUUGAAGCAAGCAAUUUCAUCCAUCUUAGGGCUUUCAACCAUCAAGAUCAUCAUCUUCUUUGCUCAUUAUUUUCAUCAAGAUCAUCCUUAGCCACAAGAGCUAGAAGUCGAGAUACAAUUCAAGGCAACUGCACGUGAGGUUAUAGUUAUAUACAGUUUACGGAACGCAAUUCUGGAAUUAGUGGACCAUGUCGGGAUUUCAGACAAGAAAACAAGUAUCAAGACUCCAUGCCACCUUUUGAAGGGUCUGCCUAUUAUAUACUGCCUCUUUGCGGUAAUAUAGUGGUCAAAGGCUUAAUAUUUUAGAAUUUGCAUUUUGAUGUAUGAAACUAUGACAACUUAUUUUCAUUUGAUGGUUUGUAAUCAAUACACUUAACGAAUGUUGCGCAUCUUUUGAAAUGGUUAUGGCAAUGGCAUUGAAGCUUGUUUUAUUCA